rnacentral:rRNA from 1 species
CCUACGGGUGGCAGCAGUGGGGAAUAUUGCUCAAUGGGGGAAACCCUGAAGCAGCAACGCCGCGUGAGGGAUGAAGGCUUUCGGAUUGUAAACUCCUUUUGUUAGGGAAGAAAAUGCCGGUACCUGACGAAGAAGCACCGGCGAAAUCCGUGCCAGCAGCCGCGGUAAUACGGAGGGGGCAAGCGUUACUCGGAAUCACUGGGGGUAAAGGGCGCGUAGGCGGGAUAGCAAGUCAGAUGUGAAAACCUGGGGCUUAACCAUAGAACUGCAUUUGAAACUGUCAGUCUAGAGUAGGGGAGAGGUAGGUGGAAUGCGUGGUGUAGCGGUGAAAUGCGUAGAGAUCAAGAGGAACACCCAUUGCGAAGGCGGCCUGCCAGAACAUAACUGACGCUGAAGCACGAAAGCGUGGGGAGCAAACAGGAUUAGAUACCCUAGUAGUC